ensembl:lncRNA
CCGGCCGCCCCGGCGCCCCUUCCUGUCCCGGCCGCCCCGGCGCCUCCUUCGGCUCUUCCGGCUACCGACCCUCCUUCGGCUCUUCCGGCUACCGACCCUCCUUCGGCUCUUCCGGCUACCGACCCUCCUUCGGCUCUUCCGGCUACCGACCCUCCUUCGGCUCUUCCGGCUACCGACCCACCGUCGGCUCUUCCGGCUACCGACCCACCGUCGGCUCUUCCGGCUACCGACCCACCGUCGGCUCUUCCGGCUACCGACCCACCGUCGGCUCUUCCGGCUACCGACCCUCCGCCGGCCACCGACCCUCCGUCGGCUCUCCCGGCCUCUGACCCUCCGCCGGCCACCGACCCUCCGUCGGCUCUCCCGGCCUCUGACCCUCCGCCGGCCACCGACCCUCCGUCGGCUCUCCCGGCCUCUGACCCUCCGCCGGCCACCGACCCUCCGUCGGCUCUCCCGGCCUCUGACCCUCCGCCGGCCACCGACCCUCCGCCGGCUCCUGAUCUUCGGCCGGUUCUGCCUCCCCGGCCUGUCCCGACGGCUCCGCCACCCUGGUUAGUCUCGGCUGUUCCGCCCCCUCGGCGGGUUUGUGCCGAUGGGGGUACAGUGCUGCCCCGCCCCCCCUCCCUUGGGCUGGGGUUCGUCUUGGCCCGUCCGGUGGCCGGGCCUUUGGGGGGGGGUACUGUCAUGGUGCGGUGAGCAGCAGCGCCACCGUGCCAUAUUUCCACAAGUUCCCAUAUUCUCACGAACACAUCCCGGACUGUCACAUGUUUCCCAUCUUCCACAACAGGUCCCAAUCUAGCUCAUUUGUAUGUGUAUAUAUGUUUCCCCUCUGCUCCCCACAUUGUGGAUCAUUGUUGCUGUCGCUGUCAUUGUUGCUGUUUGUUAGUUAAUCGGUGAGUGUUGUUUAAUGUACUGUUUGAAUGUUUAUUGCUAAGACGCAUGUUGCGCACUUUUAUUUCAUUCAGUCAUUAGUAUUGUUUUCCGUUCGUGUUUGGUUUGUUUGUUGAUUAUUAAACCCACAAACGAGAUUACUGCCUGCGCCUGGUUCCUAACCAACACUACACCACGACAAGUGUUACACCUAAAAUGAAACUGUUUACUGUUAUAUUGCGACUAUUUCUGGAAGAUUUUUGAAUUAUGUUUUAGGAUUUGUUG